GACGAACGCUGGCGGCGUGCCUAAUACAUGCAAGUAGAACGCUGAAGGAGGAGCUUGCUUCUCUGGAUGAGUUGCAAACGGGUGAGUAACGCGUAGGUAACCUGCCUGGUAGCGGGGGAUAACUAUUGGAAACGAUAGCUAAUACCGCAUAAGAGUAGAUGUUGCAUGACAUUUGCUUAAAAGGUGCAAUUGCAUCACUACCAGAUGGACCUGCGUUGUAUUAGCUAGUUGGUGGGGUAACGGCUCACCAAGGCGACGAUACAUAGCCGACCUGAGAGGGUGAUCGGCCACACUGGGACUGAGACACGGCCCAGACUCCUACGGGAGGCAGCAGUAGGGAAUCUUCGGCAAUGGACGGAAGUCUGACCGAGCAACGCCGCGUGAGUGAAGAAGGUUGUCGGAUCGUAAAGCUCUGUUGUAAGAGAAGAACGAGUGUGAGAGUGGAAAGUUCACACUGUGACGGUAUCUUACCAGAAAGGGACGGCUGACUACGUG
rnacentral:rRNA from 1 species